GACCUGCGGAGGGAUCAUUACACUAAAAUAUUACGGAAGGCUGUACGCGGCUGUGCUCUCGGGCCAGUUUUGCGGAGGCUGAAUUAUUUAUUACCCUUGUCUUUUGCGCACUUGUUGUUUCCUGGGCGGGUUCGCCCGCCACCAGGACCACAUCAUAAACCUUUUUUAUGCUAUCGAAUCAGCGUCAGUAUAACAAAUGUAAAUCAUUUACAACUUUCAACAACGGAUCUCUUGGUUCUGGCAUCGAUGAAGAACGCAGCGAAAUGCGAUACGUAGUGUGAAUUGCAGAAUUCAGUGAAUCAUCGAAUCUUUGAACGCACAUUGCGCCCUUUGGUAUUCCAAAGGGCAUGCCUGUUCGAGCGUCAUUUGUACCCUCAAGCUUUACGACUCGUGUUGGGCGUUUUUUGUCUUUGGUUGCCAAAGACUCGCCUUAAAAGGAUUGGCAGCCGGCCUACUGGUUUCGCAGCGCAGCACAUUUUUGCGCUUGCAAUCAGCAAAAGAGGACGGCAAUCCAUCAAGACUCCUAAUUGCGCGUUUGACCUCGGAUCAGGUAGGGAUACCCGCUGAACUUAAGCAUAUCAAUAAGCCCGGAGGAAA
rnacentral:rRNA from 1 species